rnacentral:rRNA from 1 species
GAUGAACGCUGGCGGCGUGCUUAACACAUGCAAGUCGAACGGAAAGGCCCAAGCUUGCUUGGGUACUCGAGUGGCGAACGGGUGAGUAACACGUGGGUGAUCUGCCCUGCACUUCGGGAUAAGCCUGGGAAACUGGGUCUAAUACCGGAUAGGACCACAUUUUGGAUGGUGUGGUGGAAAGUUUUUCGGUGUGGGAUGAGCUCGCGGCCUAUCAGCUUGUUGGUGGGGUAAUGGCCUACCAAGGCGUCGACGGGUAGCCGGCCAGUGAGGGUGUACGGCGACAUUGGGACUGAGAUACGGCCCAGACUCCUACGGGAGGCAGAAGUGGGGAAUAUUGCACAAUGGGCGCAAGCCUGAUGCAGCGAGGCCGCGUGGGGGAUGACGGCCUUCGGGUUGUAAACUCCUUUCGCUAGGGACGAAGCGUUAUGUGACGGUACCUGGAGAAGAAGCACCGGCUAACUACGUG